rnacentral:rRNA from 1 species
AUCCUCAGCUUGCUGGGGGGAUUAGUGGCGAACGGGUGAGUAACACGUGAGUAACCUGCCCUUGACUCUGGGAUAAGCCUGGGAAACCGGGUCUAAUACUGGAUAUGACCUUCCCACGCAUGUGGUGUUGGUGGAAAGCUUUUGUGGUUUUGGAUGGACUCGCGGCCUAUCAGCUUGUUGGUGGGGUAAUGGCUUACCAAGGCGACGACGGGUAGCCGGCCUGAGAGGGUGACCGGCCACACUGGGACUGAGACACGGCCCAGACUCCUACGGGAGGCAGCAGUGGGGAAUAUUGCACAAUGGGCGCAAGCCUGAUGCAGCGACGCCGCGUGAGGGAUGAAGGCCUUCGGGUUGUAAACCUCUUUCAGUA